CCUACGGGAGGCAGCAGUAGGGAAUCUUCCACAAUGGGCGAAAGCCUGAUGCAGCAACGCCGCGUGGGUGAAGAAGGUCUUCGGAUCGUAAAACCCUGUUGUUAGAGAAGAAAGUGCGUGAGAGUAACUGUUCACGUUUCGACGGUAUCUAACCAGCAAGCCACGGCUAACUACGUGCCAGCAGCCGCGGUAAGACGUAGGUGGCAAGCGUUAUCCGGAUUUAUUGGGCGUAAAGGGAACGCAGGCGGUCUUUUAAGUCUGAUGUGAAAGCCUUCGGCUUAACCGGAGUAGUGCAUUGGAAACUGGGAGACUUGAGUGCAGAAGAGGAGAGUGGAACUCCAUGUGUAGCGGUGAAAUGCGUAGAUAUAUGGAAGAACACCAGUGGCGAAAGCGGCUCUCUGGUCUGUAACUGACGCUGAGGUUCGAAAGCGUGGGUAGCAAACAGGAUUAGAUACCCGUGUAGUC
rnacentral:rRNA from 1 species